AUUGUAAUAAUAAUUUCUUCUUAACACUUUCACGCGAACAAGUCAAUAUUGUAGCUCUAUGCGAUAUUGCACAUCAUUUUUUCAUAUAAAUU